UCCAGACUCCUACGGGAGGCAGCAGUGGGGAAUAUUGCACAAUGGGGGAAACCCUGAUGCAGCGACGCCGCGUGAGUGAAGAAGUAUUUCGGUAUGUAAAGCUCUAUCAGCAGGGAAGAAAAUGACGGUACCUGACUAAGAAGCCCCGGCUAACUACGUGCCAGCAGCCGCGGUAAUACGUAGGGGGCAAGCGUUAUCCGGAUUUACUGGGUGUAAAGGGAGCGUAGACGGCAGCGCAAGUCUGAAGUGAAAUCCCAUGGCUUAACCAUGGAACUGCUUUGGAAACUGUGCAGCUGGAGUGCAGGAGAGGUAAGCGGAAUUCCUAGUGUAGCGGUGGAAUGCGUAGAUAUUAGGAGGAACACCAGUGGCGAAGGCGAUUUGCUGGACUGUAACUGACACUGAGGCACGAAAGCGUGGGGAGCAAACAGGAUUAGAUACCCCCGUACCA
rnacentral:rRNA from 1 species